GUGUAUAGAGUGGCGAACGGGUGAGUAACACGUGACCAACCUGCCUCUUACAUUGGGACAACCAAAAGAAAUUCUGGCUAAUACCAAAUACUCCGCACAUAUCACAUGAUGUAUGCGGGAAAGCUUUUGCGGUAAGAGAUGGGGUCGCGGCCCAUUAGGUAGACGGCGGGGUAGAAGCCCACCGUGCCGAUGAUAGGUAGCCGGGUUGAGAGACCGACCGGCCACAUUGGGACUGAGAUACGGCCCAGACUCCUACGGGAGGCAGCAGUGGGGAAUAUUGCGCAAUGGGGGAAACCCUGACGCAGCAACGCCGCGUGCGGGAUGAAGGCCUUCGGGUUGUAAACCGCUUUCAGCAGGGAAGACAUCGACGGUACCUGCAGAAGAAGCCCCGGCUAACUACGUGCCAGCAGCCGCGGUAAUACGUAGGGGGCGAGCGUUAUCCGGAUUCAUUGGGCGUAAAGCGCGCGCAGGCGGUUGCUCAAGCGGAACCUCUAAUCUCGGGGCUUAACCUCGAGCCGGGUUCCGAACUGGACGACUCGAGUGCGGUAGAGGCAGAUGGAAUUCCCGGUGUAGCGGUGGAAUGCGCAGAUAUCGGGAAGAACACCAACGGCGAAGGCAGUCUGCUGGGCCGUCACUGACGCUGAGGCGCGAAAGCUGGGGGAGCGAACAGGAUUAGAUACCCUGGUAGUCCCAGCCGUAAACGAUNNGCGCUGGGUGUGG
rnacentral:rRNA from 1 species